CAACUAUAAAAUACAUCACUGUUUUUUCAAUAACUGCCUAUUUUUUCAGGUAAAAUGACAUGAAGCAUCUUCCAUCAUAUUUCAUCAGCUGAUGAAUUUUGAGAAUGUAGUAGCUACAGAAUGGAUGGCAAUGUAAUAAUAUGUACUCUUCCCGCCCCUGGCACAGAAAGUGAACUUCUAAGUCCCUGAGUCUGUGCCACUGACCCCAUGUCAGGUGAUGCCUUGGAAGAUCCAGCAAGGCACAGUUGAGCUGGCUGCUAGCCACGGUUUUGUCUGGCUAUGUGGACCAUUGCACUUACAACAAAAAAGGAGAUACGAAUUUCAGGAUGUCAAAUCACUACAAAAGUGAAGAAAAACCUUACUUGAGACAUGAAGGCUGGA
rnacentral:lncRNA from 1 species